rnacentral:rRNA from 1 species
GACGAACGCUGGCGGCGUGCUUAACACAUGCAAGUCGAACGGAAAGGCCCUGCUUUUGUGGGGUGCUCGAGUGGCGAACGGGUGAGUAACACGUGAGUAACCUGCCCUUGACUUUGGGAUAACUUCAGGAAACUGGGGCUAAUACCGGAUAGGAGCUCCUGCUGCAUGGUGGGGGUUGGAAAGUUUCGGCGGUUGGGGAUGGACUCGCGGCUUAUCAGCUUGUUGGUGGGGUAGUGGCUUACCAAGGCUUUGACGGGUAGCCGGCCUGAGAGGGUGACCGGCCACAUUGGGACUGAGAUACGGCCCAGACUCCUACGGGAGGCAGCAGUGGGGAAUAUUGCACAAUGGGCGGAAGCCUGAUGCAGCAACGCCGCGUGCGGGAUGACGGCCUUCGGGUUGUAAACCGCUUUCGCCUGUGACGAAGCGUGAGCGACGGUAAUGGGGAAAGAAGCACCGGCUAACUACGU